AGAAGCAUGGCCCAAUCCAGUUGAACUCAAGUGUUGCUCUAGAAGCAUCUCUUGAACUUUAACAAUAGCAUUAAUUAAGCACUACUCUUGAUGCACAUUGGAAAACAACAAAACAUAAUUCAUUAUCCUUUCAAUGCACCAGAUGACUUCUACUUUCCCCCAUUCCCUCUCACGUCCUCUGAUUCCUCUAAUUUUCUAGGGAACUCAUCUCAUUCCUAGCAAAUGAAUAUCUUAGUCGAUCACGCUCCACUGCCAUUCGUGCAAAAAUAGGAACCCCUGAUCCAAAUUCCAUUGUUCCUUUCUACGCAAACCUUCAAUUGCAAGCAAAUGAGCAAUCUCAUUUUUCAAUCGAUGCCCAAAUAGAAAAACACAGAUCUCACAUCAUUUUCAACCUCCACUUCCUUAACUUUCAUCGUCACACCCAACAGAAGUCCCUAGAAACAAGAAAGCCUCGGCUUCAAAUGCAGAAGGUAUAUUUUGAUUUAGAACAUAUCUGACUCCCAAUAUCUCCCUAUUAGAAUCUCUUACUACAAUCCCCGAGCAAGAACUGUUAUUGGUUUUGUUGAAAGCCUUAUCAAAGUUGAUUCUGACAAACGGAGUUUGCGAUGGCCUCUAGAUUUCAUUUCCUAUCACACUUACGGGUAAAGUUUUUCCCAACCUAUCUAAUUCAGCAAUGUAACUUUUUAUAAAAUUAACAAUUUCUGAACUAGAUCUUUUUUCCAUUCAUGAAUCCAUUUGUUUCUCUCCGUCCAUAAAACUUAAAUUGUGCAUGCGAAGAUUCUGCAAUGGCCUAUGGUAUUGGAAUCAAAGUACCAGGUAACCCAAUCCAUAAGGCUCAUUUCAUCCCCUAUCUUAGGCCAACAUACAUUUAAAUAUCUCCAUGUAUCCCUUGUAACAGGACACACCCUAAACACAUGUUUGCGAGUCUCCACUGACGUUGCACACUUUGGACACACAACCUUGUUUAUUAACCUUCUGUACUGUAGAUUACACAAAGUAGAGAUGUAGUUUUUACAAUAUUUCCAAAUUGUAUUAAGCCCUUAUAAUUUCUUGUGAAAAGGCAUAUAUUAUGUUUGCUGCUGUAAAUGAUUAGGAUCACCCGAUAAUUGUAAAAGCAUUUUGUAAGCACUACUGAUAGAAUACUUACCAGAUGCUUCCCCUUUCUAUAACAAAAAAUCAUCCUGAGGAUUACAAGCCAACAGAAUGCUUAAAAUAUGUUAUGCAUCAGUCAUACUCAAGGCACCCAUGCAGCUCCAACAAUUGGAAUUCUUUCCCCAUUCCCAAUUCUCCAGUACAUCCCAUCUUGGAGUAUCCCUUUGGUAGCCCAAAUACUCUUCCAACUAUAGGAAUGUAGACUCCCUAACCUUGAAUUUAUGAAAUCUAUUUCGGGAUAAUACUUAGCUUUCAACAUACGCGCAAGUACUUUGCAAGAACUUCACAAGAAUGCCCUCUGUUUCUUUACAAAGAGAAUUAGGAAGUAGAAAACAAGCCAUAGUAUAGGUCGGGACUGCUUGUAAGACUAAUUUUAUAAAUAUUUCUUUACCUCCUUGAGAUAAGAGUCUUGUGCUCCAACUAUCAAUCUUACAUCUAAACCGAUCUUUAAGUAAUUGAAAGGCCUCCUUUUUUCUGUGACCCACCAUGUUAGGGAUGCCCA